rnacentral:rRNA from 1 species
AGCAGCAGAUUGGGCGUAAAGUGUGCGCAGGCGGUUUUGUAAGACAGGCGUGAAAUCCCCGGGCUCAACCUGGGAAUUGCGCUUGUGACUGCAAGGCUGGAGUGCGGCAGAGGGGGAUGGAAUUCCGCGUGUAGCAGUGAAAUGCGUAGAUAUGCGGAGGAACACCGAUGGCGAAGGCAAUCCCCUGGGCCUGCACUGACGCUCAUGCACGAAAGCGUGGGGAGCAAACAGGAUUAGAUACCCUGGUAGUCCACGCCCUAAACGAUGUCAACUGGUUGUUGGGUCUCUUCUGACUCAGUAACGAAGCUAACGCGUGAAGUUGACCGCCUGGGGAGUACGGCCGCAAGGUUGAAACUCAAAAAAUUGACG